ACAAAAAAACAUAUAUAAAAUAUUAGAAUAGAAAGCAUAAAACACUGGUUUAGGGUUUAAUCUUUUCCAAUUUGAAAUCCAAAGAAGAGAGUGCAAAUUCAUUCAUUUCAUUUCCUUCAAUAAGGAAUCUGGAUGAAGUUGAAUUCGAAAUUUGUAGAAAAGCAAAAGUGGGUAGCAAGGAAGGGGUUUGCGAAAUUGCAGUUGGUAAGAUGAAUAGAUUGGAGAAAUUGCGAGAGGAUUUGUUGAUUGAGAUUCUGAGUCGUUUGCGAGUAAAAUCAUUGAUUCGAUUAAGCUGCGUGAGAUAUUCAGGUAUGCGUCCAAUGGGAAUUCUACUGGUUUCUGUCGCUCACCUCUGCUAAAAGUUGCUGAUUUCUCAUACUUCUUCUUUGUUGGGGGAAUCGCAAAAUGCUCAUUACGUCUGCCAAGGUCAAGCUUUCAGGGUAACUGUCUCGAUGACAAGGAUGAAAAACAGCAUUCUGAAUCUCAGUGUGGUAAACAUAUAAAUGAAAAGAGUCAGGCACAGAGCCAAAGACCAUCUCCUUCUGAGUUAUGAUGAGUGACAACGAGUUUGGGUAGUGACCAGAUUGGUUACAUCAGCAGGAGCUUCUCAAGUCUCAACAUCAGAAUUUGAUUAUUCCUACAGCAGUGGUAUGAUUUCAAAACUAAAUAACUCAAUAACUGAAUUCAUCUCUACACGGAAAGCUGCUGAUAGAUAUUUGCAUUAUACACACCAACCUUGCGCAAUUGUUAGGCCAUAGGCGGAAAGAGCCAUUUCCCCGAAAGUGGCUUAAUAGUGUUGCUUGAAGAAAAAGUUUUAAGGCUCAAAAUCUUGAAGUGCACGAGCCACAAACAUAGUUGUCCUUUCUAGUAGUUCAUAGAAAGCACUCGACUCUAGUAACAUAAAGUGAAUAUCUGUUCGCUUCUAGUUCUAUGCUGCUUAAGUAUGUCACUGUUCGGCCCAAGAAAACAAAAGGCCCACAGAAGACCCAAGGCUUGACAACUGAUAAGAACAAUAAUAGCACUCUAAAGAUGUGUAUAGUUUGUCUAAUUAUACCUCUUCAAGAGACUGAGCAUUGACAGAAGCUUGAAUAGUUGCAGUGCUUGCGUUGUGCAAACAAACAACAUUUGCUGAGCAUCACCAUUGAACAUGGAAAAUAUACAAACUCUUUGAAGCCACCACUUUUCUUUUUCAAUGCAAGAAAGUCUGACAUAAUAAAAUCGGGCAAGACGUGGAAAUUGGAAAACCAUAUGCGAUUGUGAAUUUUCCUAUCACCUAACUCGUUAUCGAUAUCAAAGCAGUGAAUGGCAAAACCCUCCUCCUUUUAUUCGUGGAGUUCAAAACUUUUCUUCACAUCUUCUACAAACCUAAGGCAGCUUGUUAUUCAAUAAAUUAUCCAUAGAUUAAAAUAUCAUUACUAUAUAUAGAAUUAGUGAUCAAAUUCUGUUCUUCAGCUUACAAGUAAACAUUGUUGCUGUGCAUCUUUGCAAGUAUUUGACUCGUCAACAUUGGGGCACCAAGGUGGACUACUAAUUUGUUACACUUUUUUCCUACCACUUCCGGCAUAAUAGGCAUAUUUAUUUUUACCAAAUUGCGCUUGGCUCAUACUUUUUGUAGUGUUCAAUGCAUACUCUACUCUUGGUCUCGAAGGAGUAGUUUUCCUUGCUGACAUUCAGCAUCGGGACUCAGCUAGACCCCAACUAAUCCGAUCGAGCUGUAAGGACGGCCCUCGAAAAGGGGGUCAGCUAUCCUACCAAAGCUGCUGCAUUCCCUUAUCGGUUAAGCUGGAACGACCACUACCCAGUUGAUCCAAGCAUUGUGGGUUUUGUUCUUUAAUAUAAUGAAUAGGUGCAAGUAAUUCCCAUUAUUUGUUUUUAUAGUAUACAAGAGGUACUAUACUUGCAGUUUCUUCAAUUUAUUGUUAUUCUUUUUUUGUUAGCCAACAAGCUCAAGUAUUCUGCAGUAACCAACAAUAGCGAAAGUCACCAUGAAAGGGUAGGUACUCCUUAAGAAAUCUCAGCGUCUUCCAAGGCAUACCACAUCAUUCAGAGUCGACAUUGAUGUGAGUGUUAGAUUACCUGUGAGCUUUUUAAUAGAUAAAGCAAGGAUUGUUAUAGAUAUUGACAACUUAUUCCUGAAAAUUUAAAAUAAAAGUGACUGUAAAUGUUAUAUUGACCAAACUGUCAAAGGCUUGGGCAUCCCCUUCCCUUCCCCCCAGUAGUUGGGAUUCCCUUUCCCCUUCCCCUUCCCCUUCCCCCCUAGCUAUGCUAGUUAUAAAUUUUGAGGUUUUUUUCUCCGUAUGUAUGGUUCGUUGUUUAGUUGGUGUUAGUUGGUUCGUCUGAGUUGAUCACGAUUUAGUUUGUUGUUGGUUCUGGCUUCUGAGAAAUGUUUGCCAGUUGAAAAAGGGAUGGUGAUGUAAGGUAGUAGUAGUCACAUCUGUAGUUUUCUUCAACUGUUUGUUAAAGGAACAUGUACAUCACAUGGAUGAAAAAUGUGAGUAUGGUCGAGGCGAUGUUGGUUAUUCAUGGUUGGACUUUUUGUUUUCCGGUUUCCCAAACCGGUGGUGUGUUCGAGAGCUCACCAUGUUUAGCUCUCAUUUUCGCUUGGCAAGGAUCUUCAUGGUCUUUGCCUUGAAAAAUCAAAAUCAGCAGGCGACACCCUAGUUUCAUUUGGUGGAUUUUAGCACGCCCCAUUUCUCCUACUUUAAGGAGAAACAUGACGUACUCUUGCGAGAGAGUCAUGAGUCACCUAGGAAUGUAACUUUUCCACAGAUCAUGAGCCAAGAAUCCCACGCGUUAGAAGUUCGUUGGGAUUGCUCAUGCGGCAAGAUGCAAAUCUUGCCUUUGGUUCGUUGUCCAGAUCAUGAUCGACAUUUGCUUCUCCUACCACAUCCAUCAGUCAUCAGAGUUAUGGUGGAAUGCUUCCACCAGCACAUUCAUCGACCAACGAUGCACUACUUCAUUGGCGACUUUUUAUCAGCUUUGCUUAUUUAUGUUUUUUAGGACAUGUAAGAGCUCAUCAAGCUUCUUUAGGUUUUCUUUUGUUUGUUGCGUGGUUGUAUUAAUAAUAGAUUGUACUGUGUUAUUUAAUCAAUGCACGUUUUCUCGAUGUAAAAAAAAAAGCUACAUGUUCUAAAGUUAAAAAAAAGAAAGGGUUUUUCUACGUUAUACCCUUGUGUUUCUUCAAUUUCUACGUUUUACCCCAGCUUUUUAAAAAUUCCACACGGUACCCUCAACCUUACCUUUUUUUAAUGCACGAUGCCCAAACUGCUGAUUAUAUGUCAUUAAUUUCAUUAUUUUUUUUAAAAUUAUUGGAACUAAUUUGACUUAUAUAUAGUUUAACCCUUAGAAGGUUAUUCACUAAUUAGAUUCGUUUCACCGGAUUAUAAAAAGUAGACGAAAUUAAUGAUGUAUAAUCAGCGGUAGGGGUAUUGUCCGUUGAAAAAGAUAAGUUUAAGGGUAUUGUGUGGAAUUUUGAAAAGCUUGGGGUACAACGUAGAAAUUGAACCUGUCAAAAAAAAAAAAAAACGUAGAAAUUGAAAAAAUAUAAGGGUAUAACGUAGAAAAACCCAAAAACAAAAGACUAAUAAAAACAAAAGAUUAAUUACAUGCAUACAUUCCACUGUGAUGCUGUUUUCGUUCAAUAAAAGGAACAUCCUCCAUCUACUUUCA